AUUGAACGCUGGCGGCAUGCCUUACACAUGCAAGUCGAACGGUAACAGGUCUUCGGAUGCUGACGAGUGGCGAACGGGUGAGUAAUACAUCGGAACGUGCCUAGUAGUGGGGGAUAACUACUCGAAAGAGUGGCUAACACCGCAUGAGAUCUACGGAUGAAAGCAGGGGAUCGCAAGACCUUGUGCUACUAGAGCGGCCGAUGGCAGAUUAGGUAGUUGGUGGGAUAAAAGCUUACCAAGCCGACGAUCUGUAGCUGGUCUGAGAGGACGAGCGGCCACACUGGGACUGAGGCACGGCCCAGAUUCCUACGGGAGGAAGCAGUGGGGAAUUUUGGACAAUGGGCGCAAGCCUGAUCCAGCAAUGCCGCGUGCAGGAUGAAGGCCUUCGGGUUGUAAACUGCUUUUGUACGGAACGAAAAGCCCUGGGUUAAUACCCUGGGGUCAUGACGGUACCGUAAGAAUAAGCACCGGCUAACUACGUGCCAGCCGCCGCCGUAAUAC
rnacentral:rRNA from 1 species